rnacentral:rRNA from 1 species
AUUGAACGCUGGCGGCAGGCCUAACACAUGCAAGUCGAGCGGAUGAAGGGAGCUUGCUCCUGGAUUCAGCGGCGGACGGGUGAGUAAUGCCUAGGAAUCUGCCUGGUAGUGGGGGAUAACGUCCGGAAACGGGCGCUAAUACCGCAUACGUCCUGAGGGAGAAAGUGGGGGAUCUUCGGACCUCACGCUAUCAGAUGAGCCUAGGUCGGAUUAGCUAGUUGGUGGGGUAAAGGCCUACCAAGGCGACGAUCCGUAACUGGUCUGAGAGGAUGAUCAGUCACACUGGAACUGAGACACGGUCCAGACUCCUACAGGAGGCAGCAGUGGGGAAUAUUGGACAAUGGGCGAAAGCCUGAUCCAGCCAUGCCGCGUGUGUGAAGAAGGUCUUCGGAUUGUAAAGCACUUUAAGUUGGGAGGAAGGGCAGUAAGUUAAUACCUUGCUGUUUUGACGUUACCAACAGAAUAAGCACCGGCUAACUUCGU